AUUGCCUCCUGGCCUUUUGGCUAAGAUCAAGUGUAGACUCUGUUCUUAUUGUUUUAAAAGGGGUAGUUUAAGACUUAGCUACAUAAUAGCUACAGAACAACUAUAAUUCAGUUUCUGGUGUCAUCCUAC
rnacentral:snRNA from 1 species